rnacentral:lncRNA from 1 species
AUCACAAAGCAGCAUCAUAUGAGGCUGCUUUUUGGAAUCCUAAGGUCUUUACUGUUAAACUAUAGUUGUUUGGAAACCAAACUAGGAGAAAGAAUAUUUAAUGAGAAAUCAGAAAACCUGGAUUCUAAGCUUGCCUUUCCUCUCUGAUAUUUGUAAAUGUGUAAGUCACUUAACCUCUCUAAACAUUAGUUUGCUUAUCUGUAAAACAUGGCUAAUAACCCCAUGUGUUGUUGUAUUUCAUGGAAUUAUUUUGAGAGUCAAAUGAAUGAUGUAGAAAAGCUUCGUAAAUCGAGAAAGGAUUGUACAAAUGUAAAAUCAAUAUCAGCUGCUCAUGGGUAUACUAUUAUUUUUACAAUGGAUUAAGAUUUUUUUUCUCAUAUUCUUUUCCUUCACUCCCACACAGAGGGAGUAAAGAAUGUAUAUGCCUUCAUGGAUCUGGGGCAGUUCUUGGUUUGCUGUUUUUCACUGCUCUCUUGCCCUGAAACACGGCUCCUCCAGAGUGAAAAUGAUAGGGAAGGAAAUCCCAGGAGACUUGCUUCAUCAAAAGUCAUGUUUGAAUGUGGUUUUUGUGCCUCUUUGAAGUCGAUGUUUGAUUGUAAUUUUAAAUACUUGUACCUUUCCUAGGUAUUUUUAUAGUGCCUGUGGAGAGAAGAAUAUAAAUUAUACCAUCACUAUAAAAAUUUUUAAUAUAUUGUCAACAUUUUCUUGAUAUCUUUAGAUUAAUUUCACUUGAGUGAGUUUAGCCUAUGAUUGGCCAGUUAAGAAAAUACUGCCCCCUCAAAUGUGAAGUAGUAUUUUUACUGUUACAGUUUUGAAUCUUAACUUAGAAUUUUCCAUCAGUCCAAAGUGGCAUAAAUUCAAAUAAGAAAUACUUAACAAUAGUUUAAAGUACAGUUGUCUGUGGCUACUUGUAAAGUUAAACAGCUAAAAUGUAAAAUGUGGUUUAACGUUCAGUGGACACCCUUUGUAAUACUAAUAUAGGGAUAGGACUCAUAUUCGGUCAAAGGGUAUGAUCUGUUCUAAGAUUUAGAAUAGAAUUAAGGAAUCAGAAGAAACAGAUGGGAAAUGCAUGGCCCCCAAAAGAUGAUACUUGCUAAGAUCAUACAUGAGCAGGCCUAAAACUCCAGUUAUCUUUAUACCUUGGUGGGUGUUCUUUCCAUUACUUGUGCAUGUUCUUUCCAUGCACACACACACUUGUAUUGAAGAAAAGGGGAAAUGUUAUCCAACUGAAUCCACAAAAUACUAAAAUUGAGCUAAAUCAUUGUGAUACUAUAAAUGAGCUAUUUGUGGUGAAACAGUAUUAAAAUGAAUAAUGGCUAUGGAGAUCUGAGUUCUUACACCAGAUUGCCAAAUACCUGUAUAAGCUUAGCCAGACAUCUUUAUCUAUUUAUCUAUCCAUCUAUCUCCAAAAAUAUAUAAAUAGCUGACUUAUUUUCUUACCUUUCAACAUAGAGAAUUAUGGGUAUAAUAAUGCCAAUGUAUUAAAAAUAUUUGCUCCAGGCAAAACAUUUUGACUAAGGUUCUUAGAAAUUAAAUAUACUUGACUUCACAUUAAAACUAUUUCAGUUAAAUUUAAACUUUGUUUAAAUUUAAAAGUUAAAGUUAAUGAAUGAGAAGCUAAUUACUAAGUACUUUAAAUAUGAUUAAAAAGAAACGAAAAGCUAUUCAAUCAUAAUAAACUUGUCCCUGACAGAAAUUGCUCAUCUUCAGCUGCAUUAACACUUUCAAUGCAUGUAGUGAUGUGAUGUUUCAUUAAAUGGUAAGCUUAAGCCAAAAUGAUUAUGUAGUCAGAGUGCUUUAAAUGUGGCCUUUAUAUACAUAACAGUAACAAACAAAAUUUUUUGAGCCUGAAAACUAGUUUACUUUAGGUUUCCAAAAUUCUCAAAGCACUGUUUUUUAUUUGUCUGUUUGUUUUGUUUUGUUGGUAGCAACCAAAGCCAUCAUUUCUAUUGUUAAAUGACUAUGGCAGUCUUUUUAUCCAACAUUACAUCAUAAAAAAGCUGAAUCUGUGGGUUAACAAAAUCAUUUUAGGUGUGCUUUUGUCAGAUUUUAUAUUGCCUUUUGUUAAGUUAAGAACAGAGUUUCCUUUGACUUAAAAGAGCGCACUAUAUUUGAAUUAUUUUCUUAGUUCUGACACAGUGAGAAGGAGCCUAAGGACCCAUGUGAUACACUAACUCAUUUGUUCCCCACUAACUACUUGGAGAGAUUUAGCUGGAAAUGCAAAGGAAAGGAGUAAUCAUUAAGAAAAAAUAAUGAAAGACUACAAAGGCUGUAAAGUUAGAUCCUAUGUAUUUUAAAAUAGUAGAAUGCAUUCCCAUUAGAAGCUAAUUCUCAGAUAUUCCACAGCUAACAAAUAGCCAUCUCUGCUUCAGAAUCUUUCUAAAUUCCAGUGUUUUCAGAGUUCCCAUCGUGCCUCAGCGGUUAACGAAUAUGACUAACAUUCACAAGGUCGCAGGUUCGAUCCUUGGCCUCACUAAGUGGGCUAAGGAUCCGGCAUUCCAUGAGCUGUGGUGUAGGUCACAGACAUGGCUCAGAGCCUGCGUUGCUGUGGCUGUAGCAUAGGCCGGUGGGUACAGCUCUGAUUAGACCCGUAGCCUGGGAGUCUCCAUAUGCCGCAGGUGUGGCACUUAAAAAAAAAAAAGGCAAAAAAAAAAAAAAAAAAAUCCAGUGUUUUCCUCAAACUUUCCUGAGCAACUGAUCUUAAAAUAAUGAACAAACUUCUCCUGAAUCUGAAUGAACUUCUGCAUGAAUUGGUAUUUCCAAAAUCUUAAUAACACAAGUGAUGAGCUGUGACAAUCUAGUCAAUUAUUACAUAAUCGAAUUUACUUACUACGCAUAAUCAUGAUACAGAAGAAAUGAAUAGAAAAGAAAAAAAUUUAAAUAUAUUUUUAAAAAACCCAUCUCUGGGAUGUUGUCUCUCUGGAUAAAUUUUUUUUUUUGUCUCUUUUAAAAUAGUGCCUAAAACAUUGUCUUAUCUCUGUGACAUUCAGUGACUACUAAUUGAUGGUUAUUAUGUUGAAUUAAUCCUAUUAAAUAUGGGUUCCAUAUAUUUAGUUUUAAUUUAUAUGUUCCAUGGAGAAACAAACAUGUUUUGCUAUAGUCAUCUUUUGCUAUUUUGUAGAAUGACAGCCAUUGGAAAAAAGAUAUGUAUAAACUUUUUGAAGUAUGUUAUUAGCGUUAUUUGAUUUUAAAUAAUAAAUAAAAAGAAU